GGAAACUGCCUGAUGGAGGGGGAUAACUACUGGAAACGGUAGCUAAUACCGCAUAACGUCGCAAGACCAAAGAGGGGGACCUUCGGGCCUCUUGCCAUCAGAUGUGCCCAGAUGGGAUUAGCUAGUAGGUGGGGUAAUGGCUCACCUAGGCGACGAUCCCUAGCUGGUCUGAGAGGAUGACCAGCCACACUGGAACUGAGACACGGUCCAGACUCCUACGGGAGGCAGCAGUGGGGAAUAUUGCACAAUGGGCGCAAGCCUGAUGCAGCCAUGCCGCGUGUGUGAAGAAGGCCUUCGGGUUGUAAAGCACUUUCAGCGAGGAGGAAGGUGGUGAGCUUAAUACGCUCAUCAAUUGACGUUACUCGCAGAAGAAGCACCGGCUAACUCCGUGCCAGCAGCCGCGGUAAUACGGAGGGUGCAAGCGUUAAUCGGAAUUACUGGGCGUAAAGCGCACGCAGGCGGUUUGUUAAGUCAGAUGUGAAAUCCCCGGGCUCAACCUGGGAACUGCAUUUGAAACUGGCAAGCUAGAGUCUCGUAGAGGGGGGUAGAAUUCCAGGUGUAGCGGUGAAAUGCGUAGAGAUCUGGAGGAAUACCGGUGGCGAAGGCGGCCCCCUGGACGAAGACUGACGCUCAGGUGCGAAAGCGUGGGG
rnacentral:rRNA from 1 species